rnacentral:rRNA from 1 species
UGAAUCUGGUGUCUUUGACUCCCGAGUUGUAAUCUAGAGAAGUGUUUUCCGUGUCGGACCGUGCACAAGUUCCCUGGAACGGGGCGUCAUAGAGGGUGAGAAUCCCGUAUAUGGCAUGGACUACCGAUGCUUUUGUGAUACACUCUCAACGAGUCGAGUUGUUUGGGAAUGCAGCUCAAAAUGGGUGGUAAAUUCCAUCUAAAGCUAAAUAUUGGCGAGAGACCGAUAGCGAACAAGUACCGUGAGGGAAAGAUGAAAAGCACUUUGGAAAGAGAGUGAAACAGUACGUGAAAUUGUUGGAAGGGAAGCGUUUGAAGUCAGUCGUAUCUGGUGGGAUUCAGCCGGGCUUUUGCCAGGUGUACUUCUCGUCCGAUGGGUCAGCAUCAAUUUCGACCGGGGGAAAAAGGCUUGGGGAAUGUGGCUGUCUUCGGGCAGUGUUAUAGCCCCUUGUUGUAUGCCUCGGUGGGGAUUGAGGAACGCAGCGCGCCUCAUGGCCAGGGG